CCUACGGGUGGCUGCAGUAGGGAAUAUUGCUCAAUGGGGGAAACCCUGACGCAGCAACGCCGCGUGGAGGAUGAAGGUUUUAGGAUUGUAAACUCCUUUUGUGAGAGAAGAUAAUGACGGUAUCACACGAAUAAGCACCGGCUAACACCGUGCAAGCAGCCGCGGUAAUACGGAGGAGGCGAGCGUCAUCCGGAUUUAUGGGGUUAAAAGGGUGGGCAGGCGGAGGUGCAGGUAAGCGGUCAAAUUGCGGGGCUAAACCCCGUACUGCCGUUGAAACUGCAUGCCUUGAGUGCGCGAGAAGUAUGCGGAAUGCGUGGUGUAGCGGUGAAAUGCAUAGAUAUCACGCAGAACUCCGAUUGCGAAGGCAGCAUGCCGGCGCGCAACUGACGCUCAUGCACGAAAGCGUGGGUAUCGAACAGGAUUAGAUACCCGAGUAGUC
rnacentral:rRNA from 1 species